CGGGUGCUAACGUCCGUCGUGAAGAGGGAAACAACCCAGACCGCCAGCUAAGGUCCCAAAGUCAUGGUUAAGUGGGAAACGAUGUGGGAAGGCCCAGACAGCCAGGAUGUUGGCUUAGAAGCAGCCAUCAUUUAAAGAAAGCGUAAUAGCUCACUGGUCGAGUCGGCCUGCGCGGAAGAUGUAACGGGGCUAAACCAUGCACCGAAGCUGCGGCAGCGAACGUAUCACCCAAGACAACUUUACGGAGUUGACGAUUGACGGAGCGAAGCGACGUCAAAGCGUUCAUUAAAGUCGAGUUGGCUUAGGGAUACGUUCGUUGGGUAGGGGAGCGUUCUGUAAGCCUGUGAAGGUGUGUCGUGAGGCAUGCUGGAGGUAUCAGAAGUGCGAAUGCUGACAUAAGUAACGAUAAAGCGGGUGAAAAGCCCGCUCGCCGGAAGACCAAGGGUUCCUGUCCAACGUUAAUCGGGGCAGGGUGAGUCGACCCCUAAGGCGAGGCCGAAAGGCGUAGUCGAUGGGAAACGGGUUAAUAUUCCCGUACUUGGUGUUACUGCGAAGGGGGGACGGAGAAGGCUAUGUUGGCCGGGCGACGGUUGUCCCGGUUUAAGCGUGUAGGUGUGUGUUCCAGGUAAAUCCGGUUCACUUUAACACUGAGGCGUGACGACGAGGCACUACGGUGCUGAAGCAACAAAUGCCCUGCUUCCAGGAAAAGCCUCUAAGCAUCAGGUAACACGAAAUCGUACCCCAAACCGACACAGGUGGUCAGGUAGAGAAUACCAAGGCGCUUGAGAGA
rnacentral:rRNA from 1 species